rnacentral:rRNA from 1 species
CCUACGGGGGGCAGCAGUGGGGAAUAUUGCACAAUGGGGGAAACCCUGAUGCAGCGACGCCGCGUGAAGGACGAAGUAUUUCGGUACGUAAACUUCUAUCAGCAGGGAAGAAAAUGACGGUACCUGACCAAGAAGCCCCGGCUAACUACGUGCCAGCAGCCGCGGUAAUACGUAGGGGGCAAGCGUUAUCCGGAUUUACUGGGUGUAAAGGGAGCGUAGACGGCCGUGCAAGUCUGAUGUGAAAACCCGGGGCUCAACCCCGGGACUGCAUUGGAAACUGCAUGGCUGGAGUGUCGGAGAGGCAA